rnacentral:rRNA from 1 species
GAUGAACGCUGGCGGCGUGCCUAAUACAUGCAAGUCGAGCGAACGGACGAGAAGCUUGCUUCUCUGAUGUUAGCGGCGGACGGGUGAGUAACACGUGGAUAACCUACCUAUAAGACUGGGAUAACUUCGUGAAACCGGAGCUAAUACCGGAUAAUAUUUUGAACCGCAUGGUUCAAAAGUGAAAGACGGUCUUGCUGUCACUUAUAGAUGGAUCCGCGCUGCAUUAGCUAGUUGGUAAGGUAACGGCUUACCAAGGCAACGAUGCAUAGCCGACCUGAGAGGGUGAUCGGCCACACUGGAACUGAGACACGGUCCAGACUCCUACGGGAGGCAGCAGUAGGGAAUCUUCCGAAAUGGGCGAAAGCCUGACGGAGCAACGCCGCGUGAGUGAUGAAGGUCUUCGGAUCGUAAAACUCUGUUAUUAGGGAAGAACAUAUGUGUAAGUAACUGUGCACAUCUUGACGGUACCUAAACAGAAAGCCACGGCUAACUACGUG